ACUGUCGGAGAACUCUGUCAUGUCUUUUAGGAACUCCAGUUGUUACACGUUGAUUUGAUGAGUUGAGUCUUGUCUUCUUCGCCACUGUUCCUGGCUUUGUGUUAUAACAACCCCUCUCCUCCCCUCACCUUCCGAGAACUAAAAAACAGACCAAACGUCUCAAACCCGCAUAACAUUUGAUUCUUAACCUUCCAGAGAUCUAUAGAGAGAGAGAUGGGAGCAGCGUCCAUGGAGAGAGAAAAUGGUGCUGUAGCGGCGGCGGCGGCGGCGACGACGGAGAUGUUAUCUCCUCCUCGGGUGAAUUCGCCGCGUCAAGCAUUGGUUGAGAGAUUGAAAGAUUAUGGACAAGAAGAUGUUUUCGCUCUUUUGGAUGAGCUCUCACCAGACGAGCGAGAUUUCCUUGUCAGAGAUAUCGAGAACUUGGAUCUUCCAAGAAUAGAUCGGAUCAUCAGAUGCUCACUUCACUCUCAAGGUUUGCCUGUGGCGGCGAUCGAGCCAGUGCCCGAGAACUGGGUCGCUACGGUAGAUAGAAGAACAAUGGAAGACAGAGAGAAAUGGUGGAAGAUGGGAUUAAAGACUAUCUAUGAAGGCAAAUUAGGAGUUGUGCUUUUGUCUGGUGGACAGGGAACAAGGCUUGGAAUUUCAGAUCCCAAAGGAUGUUUCAACAUUGGACUACCGUCAGGGAAGUCGCUCUUUCAGAUUCAAGCAGAGAGAAUCUUGUGUGUCCAAAGACUUGCUGCUCAAGUAGUGAGUGAAGGUGGUCCAACUCGGCCAGUAACAAUACACUGGUAUAUUAUGACUAGUCCAUUUACUGAUGAGGCGACACGAAAGUAUUUCUCAAGUCACAAGUACUUUGGCCUUGAACCAGAUCAAAUUAGUUUCUUCCAACAAGGUACGUUGCCUUGCAUUUCAAAGGAUGGGAAGUUUAUCAUGGAGACACCUUUCAGUCUAGCUAAAGCUCCAGAUGGUAACGGGGGAGUCUAUGCUGCUCUUAAGUCUUCAAGGUUAUUAGAGGAUAUGGCUUCUAGGGGAAUCAAAUAUGUAGACUGCUAUGGCGUCGACAAUGUUUUGGUUCGAGUAGCUGAUCCUACUUUCCUAGGAUACUUUAUCGACAAAGGUGCUGCUUCUGCUGCAAAAGUUGUGCGGAAGGCAUACCCUCAAGAACAGGUUGGAGUAUUUGUUAGAAGAGGAAAAGGUGGACCGUUGACUGUAGUUGAGUACAGUGAGCUAGAUCAGCCAAUGGCUUCUGCUAUUAAUCAACGAACAGGACGUCUUCAAUAUUGCUGGAGUAACGUGUGCUUAAACAUGUUCACGUUAGACUUUCUAAAUCAAGUAGCGACCGGCCUAGAAAAAGACGGCGUCUACCAUUUGGCAGAGAAGAAGAUACCGUCUAUGAAUGGAUACACAAUGGGACUGAAACUAGAACAAUUCAUUUUCGAUUCGUUUCCUUAUGCUCCUUCAACCGCACUCUUUGAGUUAAUGUGUGUAGGUGUUAAGAGAAGAAGAGUUUGCACCAGUGAAGAAUGCAAAUGGGUCGAACUUUGACACACCGGAAAGUGCGAGGCUUUCGGUACUAAGACUACACACACGUUGGGUCAUAGCAGCUGGUGGAUUUCUUACACAUUCUGUGCCUUUAUAUGCAACUGGUGUUGAGGUUUCACCGUUGUGCUCGUACGCGGGAGAAAAUCUUGAAGCUAUUUGUCGUGGAAGAACGUUUCAUGCACCUUGUGAAAUAUCCCUCUAACGAUUUUUAUUUUCUUUUGGUAUUGAAAUGUCUUCUUUUGCUUUUUGUCUUCUUUCGGCUGUGGUUUAUAUAUAAACUUAAAUCUCCCCAUGGGAGAGAGUGGUCUUGGUGUUUUGGUAUCCAUUGUAACAUAUCUAAUAAAAAGUUGUUGGUUUCUUAAAC